GACGAACGCUGGCGGCGUGCUUAACACAUGCAAGUCGAACGGAAAGGCCUGCUUUCCCUUGUGGAUUGCGGGUACUCGAGUGGCGAACGGGUGAGUAACACGUGAGUGAUCUGCCCCCAACUUGGGUAUAAGCCUGGGAAACUGUGUCUAAUUCCCGAUAGGACUGCAGGGUGGUGCCUGUGGUGGAAAACUAUUUUCUAGUGGUUGGGGAUGAGCUCGCGGCCUAUCAGCUUGUUGGUGGGGUAAUGGCCUACCAAGGCGGCGACGGGUAGCCGGCCUGAGAGGGUGGACGGGCACAUUGAGACUGAGAUACGGCCCAGACUCCUACGGGAGGCAGCAGUGGGGAAGAAGGGGCAGUGGGCGGAAGCCUGAUGCAGCGACGCCGCGUGGGGGAUGACGGCCUUCGGGUUGUAAACUCCUUUGGACCGAGAGGAAGCCACCUGGUUGGAAGGGUGGUGACGGUAGUGGUAGAAGAAGCACCGGCUAACUACGUG
rnacentral:rRNA from 1 species